GACUUGAUAAGCUAAGCUAAAGCUAGUGGGCCCAUACCCCAACAAUGAGUAUUCUCUCACGUCA
rnacentral:tRNA from 1 species